AGGGGGCGCUGAGGGUGGAGGCAGGAGGGCCAGGGACAUGAAGGACGGGGCAAAAGGGGAGGCAGAGACCAACGGACAGGGACAGAUGGAGGGAGGCACUUGGGAUGUUCCAGAACAGAGGUUCUGAGGGUGCCCAGUGGGUAGGGUGGUGGUGGCCCCACCCUGACCAGAACCUGGCCUCGGUCAAACCUGACCCCCCACCCAGGACCUAGUACAUGCCCCAGCCCCAGCCCCUGCCACCCCUGCCCAAUCGUGUCUGCGAAAUUCAAGGAAGCAGCAGUAAAUAUGUGGGCUCCGGAGUCAGGCUGACCUGGAUUUCAACCCCAACUGCACCUCCUCAAGGUAUCCUCAGCAAGAUCUUGCCACCUUUCUGAGUGGCUGGUUCCUCUUGGUGGAACCCACUGCUUUACUGGUUCCCUGAGAGGCUAGAAGGGAGAAAGCUUGGGUUACGGCUACAAGAAGGAAGACGCCAUGGCCAAGCCUGCCUCAAGGCUGUUCUGGAGGAGGCAGUCCCAGAGCUGCCAGAUGCAUCUUCAUCUUAAACACAGCUUUCCAGCUCUCUGUACAGACUCAGCACCCUUGGGAGGAAGAGGGAGGAGAGAGGAGGAAUGCCCAAUAUUUUCACAUGGAAAACCCUUGAAGAUGUACAUAUAACCACAAAAUAGAAACCGAGAAAGGAAAAUCCUUCAGGUCUAACAGAGAUUCCUUGACAACAACAAUGAACUUGGAAGGUUGAAAGUUGCGCUUCUCCAGAAGUAGAAUAUUUUGCUAGGCAGUAGGUUCUCAUUUCAUCAGGGAUGCCAUUCAAAUGAAACCCACUUACAGAGAAAGACCCUUGCUCUUGCUUACAAUGCCAAUGGUCAUGUUCUCAGAGUCCCAUGGAUGUUUUACACGGUUGGAAAAGCACCCACUGACACCCACCCACCCCCACAAGGCCCCGGGGAAGUCGAGCCUGUGUGCUGGUCCCUGCUUUUCCUGGUGGCAUCUCAGUCCAAGCUGCUGCUAACUCCAGGCGAAAGGAUUAGGUCAAGGAAGGAAGGAACUUCCAUUUACUGAGUAUGUAACUUGGUCCCAGGCACCCAACUGAAUUUUAACUUUGGAGGCUUCCUGAGAGAGGCAAUAUUUAUUUUAGGUGUUUUUUUGUUUGUGUUUUUUACAGAGGAGGAAACUAAGACUUAAAUAUGUUACCCACUAACUUGCCCAGAGUUACAUGGAGAUCCAGAAUUUAUGUUAGUCUGAGCAUCUCUGUUCCUGGGUGAGCUUGGACACUAAUUAUAACAAUAAAGACAGCUAACAUGUAACAGGCACUUUCUUCUAGGUGCCAGCCACCAUGCGAGCACUGUACAUACAGCACUUCACCUCCUUCUCACAGCAGCCUUCUGAGACAGGUUCUCCCCAUCUUACAGAUGCAGGAGCUAUGGCUUGGAGAGGGGAAGAGCUGCCUGAGGUCAGACACUAGAAAGCGACAGAGCUGGCUUGUGAACCUGGGCAACUCACUGCAGGCUCCAUGGUCUUAGCACAGUUGGCUCUCCAAGAGUGGUUCCCCCCGACCCCUGCAUACCACCACCACACUACCCCGGGCAGCGCUUCCCAAGAGCCCUCUUGGGUGAACUGGGUGUGAGGCCUGGGGGCAGCAAUCCUAAGGCAAAUGUGACAUCUUUGCUGAAAAGCUCUUGAGGUGUCCUUAAGAUGCCUCUGAGCCUUGUCAAGGCCGCUGGCUACAGGGCUAACAUACUGGCCUCUCUCCAUGAUCCUUUCCUGCCUCCAAAUACCCUGUGGGACACCGUAUCCAUGACCAGGUGCAAGCCACACACACGCCAACAUGUCAUCCAAAGAUAAAUCCUAUCAGCCUCUGCAGCUUUAAAAUCACACAGACAAAUUGGGUUACCAAGAGCCCCAAAUCAAUAUGGAAAUACAUGUUUAUGAGCUACGAGGAGGAGAUUUUAAACCAUAAAGAAUACUCGCAAAUCAAAGGGCCAUGGGCCAAAUUCUAAAAGCAUUUAAGUUUCUGGCUCAUUCUUUUUGCCCAGCAGUGAGACAGUUUUGAGUCAGUAAUCCUCUAAGAUUUUCUCUGCAAACCAGCUGCUGUGCAGUAGCCGUGGCUGCUCCCGGGCAUCUGUGUGGUCCUCCAACAACUUUCGCCAGGAGACUAAAACAUCGACAAGACUGGCCAGUGGCUUCCACUGCAACCCUUGGCACAAAUAUUUGUAUUUCGAAGCAUUCUCGGGUCACAGCUCCUACGCCACAGCCAAGGUGAUGACUGCUCAACAAUGCCCAUGCAUAGCUGCCUACGGAAACCCUUCCCAUGCAGGCAGCCACAGAGACAGAAUGCAGAAUGGUGGCUGCCAGGGGCUGGGGGGAGGGAGGAACGGGCAAUUCCAGUUUUGCAAGAUGAAGAAAAGGCCUGUGGAUAGAUGGUAGUGAUGGUAGUAAUGGUCAAAACGAUAAAUUAUUACUACAAUAAUAAAAAAUAAAAAAGAAGCCAUGCCUUCCGUA